rnacentral:rRNA from 1 species
GGCGCCCCAAGUGGCGAUCACGAUUAUUGGGCCUAAAGCGUUCGUAGCCGGCUAAGUAAAUCCCUUGUGAAAUCGUCUCGCUUAACGUGACGGCGCGCAGGGGACACUGCUUGGCUCGGGACCGGGAGGAGUCAGAGGUAUGCCGUGGGGACCGGUAAAAUGGGAUAAUCCACGGUGGACCACCGAUGGCGAAGGCAUCUGACCAGAACGGAUCCGACGGUGAGGAACGAAAGCCAGGGGAGCGAACC